rnacentral:rRNA from 1 species
AGCGAACGCUGGCGGCAGGCUUAACACAUGCAAGUCGAACGGGCGUAGCAAUACGUCAGUGGCAGACGGGUGAGUAACGCGUGGGAACGUACCUUUUGGUUCGGAACAACCCAAGGAAACUUGGGCUAAUACCGGAUAAGCCCUUACGGGAAAGAUUUAUCGCCGAAAGAUCGGCCCGCGUCUGAUUAGCUAGUUGGUGAGGUAACGGCUCACCAAGGCGACGAUCAGUAGCUGGUCUGAGAGGAUGAUCAGCCACAUUGGGACUGAGACACGGCCCAAACUCCUACGGGAGGCAGCAGUGGGAAUAUUGGACAAUGGGCGCAAGCCUGAUCCAGCCAUGCCGCGUGAGUGAUGAAGGCCCUAGGGUUGUAAAGCUCUUUUGUGCGGGAAGAUAAUGACGGUACCGCAAGAAUAAGCCCCCGGCUAACUUCGUGCCAGCAGCCGCGGUAA